GUAUUUACCUGGCAGGGUGAGAUACCACCAUGAUCAGGAAGGUAGUUUUCCCAGAACAAGGCUCAGCAUUACACUUUGUGCUGACACCUAGGAUUUCCCCAUGUGAGUUUACAGUAAUGAAGUGCCUACAUUUUAGUAGAAGGAGAAAAAACAAGGGUCCCUUU
rnacentral:snRNA from 1 species